UACGUAGGGGGCAAGCGUUAUCCGGAUUUACUGGGUGUAAAGGGGGCGCAGACGGCAGCGCAAGCCAGGAGUGAAAGCCCGGGGCCCAACCCCGGGACUGCUCUUGGAACUGCGCGGCUGGAGUGCAGGAGGGGCAGGCGGAAUUCCUGGUGUAGCGGUGAAAUGCGUAGAUAUCGGGAAGAACACCAAUGGCGAAGGCAGGUCUCUGGGCCGUUACUGACGCUGAGGAGCGAAAGCGUGGGGAGCGAACAGG
rnacentral:rRNA from 1 species